UACGUAGGGUGCAAGCGUUAAUCGGAAUUACUGGGCGUAAAGUGUGCGCAGGCGGUUAUGCAAGACAGAUGUGAAAUCCCCGGGCUCAACCUGGGAACUGCAUUUGUGACUGCAUGGCUAGAGUGCGGCAGAGGGGGAUGGAAUUCCGCGUGUAGCAGUGAAAUGCGUAGAUAUGCGGAGGAACACCGAUGGCGAAGGCAAUCCCCUGGGCCUGCACUGACGCUCAUGCACGAAAGCGUGGGGAGCAAACAGG
rnacentral:rRNA from 1 species